rnacentral:rRNA from 1 species
AGUGAACGCUGGCGGUAGGCCUAACACAUGCAAGUCGAACGGCAGCACAGCAAGAGCUUGCUCUUACGGGUGGCGAGUGGCGGACGGGUGAGGAAUACAUCGGAAUCUACUUUUUCGGGGGGGAUAACGUAGGGAAACUUACGCUAAUACCGCGUACGACCUACGGGUGAAAGCAGGGGAUCUUCGGACCUUGCGCGAAUGAAUGAGCCGAUGUCGGAUUAGCUAGUUGGCGGGGUAAAGGCCCACCAAGGCGACGAUCCGUAGCUGGUCUGAGAGGAUGAUCAGCCACACUGGAACUGAGACACGGUCCAGACUCCUACGGGAGGCAGCAGUGGGGAAUAUUGGACAAUGGGCGCAAGCCUGAUCCAGCCAUACCGCGUGGGUGAAGAAGGCCUUCGGGUUGUAAAGCCCUUUUGUUGGGAAAGAAAAGCAGCAGGUUAAUACCCCGCUGUUCUGACGGUACCCAAAGAAUAAGCACCGGCUAACUUCGUG